rnacentral:misc_RNA from 1 species
GUUAUCUUCAUUUUUUUGUUAUUUAUUAAACGUAAUACAUUUCAAUACUUUUGCAAAGUCGCCUGCAUAGUGAUUAGUUAUCGAGGUCGCGAUGUCGGAAUCCACCACGUGGAAGAGCGCGUCGGGUGGCCUUGCUGCCUGGCUCAUCGCCCUGAUCGUUAUAAUGGUGCUCCUGUGCUGCCUCCUGAUCAUCUGCCUGCCGCUCCUCUGCCUCUGCGGCUGCUGCGGACUCACCUGCUCCGCGUGCUUCGCCUGCGGCGCUGCAUGUUGCAGUGAUUGCGAGGGGUGUGGCGAUUGUGGCAAUUGUGGCGAUUGCGGCGGUGGGUCUGGCGAUGGAUGUGGUGAUUGUGGCGAUUUGGGGGAUGGUGAUGGUGACGAAAUCGUUUAGUUUGGCGAUAAUUCAAGUUUCCAUCGAAAUAAACGUACUAUUCAGAUCUCCGAUUCAAAAGUCCAUAAAUUGCAUGUGCACAGAUAUAGAUUCACUAGGAGCAGCCCAAGGCUACCAGGAAUCCAACGUAAAGGAAACCACAUUUUAAAAUACUUCAUUUCAUCGAGCUCGAAAAUAACCGGAUUUCAGUAAGCUGCGACUGUACACUUAAAAUUAAAAAAAAAACUGUACCCAAAAUCGAAAUUCUUAAGAUGCUAUGCAAGGAACGAGGGUCCAAUCUGUAAUCGAAAUCGUCAAAAUUUGCAAUUUAUUUCCCAUAAGCUAUGGCGAAGUUGACUUCCAUAUCUGAAUACGAUUUUAGAGAUCUAAACUUUAACAUGACAACUGUGGCGAGCCGAUCGACCACCGAACCACCGGAUACUAACCUUAAGUAUUAUGGACUUUUAUUCAUAUUCGCCGUCAUAUUGGCCUUCAUUGUGGCGUGCUCUGCAUGUAUGGCUCUUCUCGUCCUUUUUGGUUGUAUGAAGUCCUUUUUCUGUAUUCGCUGUAGACGGCGUGACGAGUUUACAGAAGUUAAUCCCUGACUGGGAUAACAGUUGCGUCAUCUUAUCUGAAAAUUGUGCUA